AACGAACGCUGGCGGCGUGGAUAAGACAUGCAAGUCGAACGGGACUAAAUCUGUAGCAAUACAGGUUUAGUUUAGUGGCGAACGGGUGCGUAACACGUGGGCAAUCUGCCGAGAAGUGGGGGAUAGCUCGCCGAAAGGCGAAUUAAUACCGCAUAUGAUCAGUGAAGACAUCUUCACGACAUCAAAGCCGGGGUAACCUGGCGCUUCUUGAUGAGCCCGCGGCCUAUCAGCUAGUUGGUGAGGUAACGGCUCACCAAGGCUAUGACGGGUAGCUGGUCUGAGAGGACGACCAGUCACACUGGAACUGAGACACGGUCCAGACACCUACGGGUGGCAGCAGUCGAGAAUUUUUCUCAAUGGGGCAACCCUGAAGGAGCGACGCCGCGUGGAGGAUGAAGGCUUU
rnacentral:rRNA from 1 species